UUCCUACGGGGGGCAGCAGUGGGGAAUUUUGGACAAUGGGGGCAACCCUGAUCCAGCAAUGCCGCGUGUGUGAAGAAGGCCUUCGGGUUGUAAAGCACUUUUGUCCGGAAAGAAAUCGCACUUACUAAUAUUAGGUGUGGAUGACGGUACCGGAAGAAUAAGGACCGGCUAACUACGUGCCAGCAGCCGCGGUAAUACGUAGGGUCCAAGCGUUCAUCGGAAUUACUGGGCGUAAAGCGUGCGCAGGCGGUUGUGCAAGACCGAUGUGAAAUCCCCGGGCUUAACCUGGGAAUUGCAUUUGUGACUGCACGGCUAGAGUGUGUCAGAGGGGGGUAGAAUUCCACGUGUAGCAGUGAAAUGCGUAGAGAUGUGGAGGAAUACCGAUGGCGAAGGCAGCCCCCUGGGAUAACACUGACGCUCAUGCACGAAAGCGUGGGGAGCAAACAGGAUUAGAUACCCCGGUAGUCAC
rnacentral:rRNA from 1 species